GUCUUCGCUGUAAACGGUGCUCACUAGCUGUGAGCGGUGUCAAAUCCGCUCGUGGCGUAGUUAACACAUUAAGUGAGCCGCCUGGGAAGUACGGCCGCAAGGCUAAAACUCAAAGAAUUGACGGGGCCUGCACAAGCGGUGGAGUAUGUGGCUUAAUUCGAUGCAACGCGAAGAACCUUACCUAGUCUUGACAUUUGGAUAUUAACCGUCAGAAAUGACAGUGAGGUAGCAAUACCAGUCCAAACAGGUGCUGCAUGGCUGUCGU
rnacentral:rRNA from 1 species